UUUUUAUGGGGGGCUAGGAUGAAAAAUGUUGUCCUGCAUUUUUUUUUAGCUGUAAUCUCUGUCCUGCCUUUUUAUUUUUCACUCUGUUCGGUCCUUUUUUUUUUUUAGUUUAUCCUGACUUUUUUUUACCUAAAUUGUCGUCCUGACAUUUUUUUUUUUUGCAAGUGUCUCAUCCUGCCUUUUUUUUUUACUCAAAACUCCUGUCCUGUCUAUUUUUUUCAAAUUUCAUCCUAACCCCCCCCCCCAUAAAAAUCAAAUGGUAGCUCCCUUAGACACAGGGUGAACGCAUUUAGUAAUGACAGUGAUUAUGUUGGUUGUCAUAUAGAACUCUUCAUUAUACUUAAAUUAAGUUGUUGCAACUGAAUUUCUCAUUUUUAAUCCUUUUUGUUAUUUUUGAAUUGUAGAACACAGAGAUUUGUAUUUUUUUGUAAGAGCCGGUGGGUGUCGAUGAGAACGGACGUGAAAUUUUUGCAGAGAGAAUCCAUCAACAUCAUCCAAAUUAGUCUUCUAAAUUGCUUUCUUGGAUGCAC
rnacentral:lncRNA from 1 species